GACGAACCGUGCGAACGUUAUUCGGAAUCACUGGGCUUAAAGCGCGUGCAGGCGGGCCGGCACGUCGGUCGCUGAAAUCCCCCGGCUCAACUGGGGAACUGCACAGGAAACUGCGAGACUUGAGUUCGGGAGAGGGAAGCGGAAUUCCGGGUGUAGCGGUGAAAUGCGUAGAUAUCCGGAGGAACACCGGUGGCGAAGGCGGCUUCCUGGACCGACACUGACGCUCAUGCACGAAAGCGUGGGGAGCAAACAGG
rnacentral:rRNA from 1 species